AGGUAACCUGACUGCAGCAUCUGUCACUUCAUUGAUAGCCAGAUAACAUCGAUUCUGCUGAUCUGGCUGGCUAGGCAGACAGUCCCUUCCUUUCUCGCUGCUCUAUGUGCUUCUCUGUAACCCGAGUUCCGAGCUGAAGAGGACCAUUUUUUGAUCAGGAGUAUAUGAGUAGCUGCAGCCCCGCACUAGAAGCUCCAGUCAAGCUCUCAACAAGAACAAGUCAAAAGGAAUGUAUAGAAUUAAAACUUAAAGCUAGCUGGUUUGUUGGCUCAUGUCUCUAAUGCCAGCAUUU
rnacentral:snRNA from 1 species